GGAGAUUAUAUAUUCCAGCUCUGAAGUUUCCUUUUGAGCCCCCGUUCUACUAUGGUUUGGAUUCUAGUUGAAAGCGUGCGACCAUCUAUUCAGAUGAGGAGACCGAGUAAGAAACCACUGAGCGGAGAGCAAACAGAUCAAUCUCUAUCUAUGAGUUUCUCAACCAAGAUCCACUAUUCAACCAAGACCCGCUAACUAAUACUUUUACGCGAGCUUAGUUAUUGGAAGUAGUA
rnacentral:lncRNA from 1 species